AAAGUACUCCCUCCGUCCCAAAAUUCUUGUCUUAGAAUUGUCUAGAUACGGAUGUAUCAAGUCACAUUUUAGUAUUAGAUACAUCCGUAUCUAGACAAAUCUAAGACAAGAAAUUUGGGACAGAGGGAGUAGUUG
rnacentral:pre_miRNA from 1 species